rnacentral:snRNA from 1 species
GUGCUUUCUUCGGCAGCACAUAUACUAAAAUUGGAACAAUACAGAGAUUAGCGUGACCCCUGCUAUUUCAUGAAGUCUUCCAUAUUUUU